UAAACGUUUCAAAACCUAGCUUUUCUUCUACUUCAAUUGCAACUGCAAAAAUCCCUCUUCAAUCUUAUUCGUUUGAUCCGAUUCCUUGCUCCUUUUCCAAUCUCAUUCCAGUACAUUACAAUCAGAUUGUAAUCCUCAAACAAGUAAAGUAUCUUUUUUAGUUUCCCUUUCGAUCUGGGCUGUCGUAGGAAGAAUUGAGCCGCAGUAAACUGGAGUUUUCUUUGAGGCUAUUUGCUUGUUAAUUGGGGUUGAAGAUGUUUCACCGGACAAACAAGCUGAUUUUCUUUCGGCAUUGCUUAAUCCCCUUUGCCAGCAGGUGGAGGUGUUGCUGCAAAAUGCC